rnacentral:rRNA from 1 species
AUUGAACGCUGGCGGCAGGCUUAACACAUGCAAGUCGAGCGGGGUGAUGGUGCUUGCACUAUCACUUAGCGGCGGACGGGUGAGUAAUGCUUAGGAAUCUGCCUAUUAGUGGGGGACAACAUCUCGAAAGGGAUGCUAAUACCGCAUACGUCCUACGGGAGAAAGCAGGGGAUCACUUGUGACGUUGCGCGAAUAGAUGAGCCUAAGUCGGAUUAGCUAGUUGGUGGGGUAAAGGUCUACCAAGGGGACGAUCUGUAGCGGGUCUGAGAGGAUGAUCCGCCACACUGGGACUGAGACACGGCCCAGACUCCUACGGGAGGCAGCAGUGGGGAAUAUUGGACAAUGGGGGGAACCCUGAUCCAGCCAUGCCGCGUGUGUGAAGAAGGCCUUAUGGUUGUAAAGCACUUUAAGCGAGGAGGAGGCUCUUUUGGUUAAUACCCAGAAUGAGUGGACGUUACUCGCAGAAUAAGCACCGGCUAACUCUGUGCCAGCCGCCGCGGUAA